GGCACCUCUCUGCGCCGGCCCCAACGGCGGCACUCACGCGGCGGUGGCAGCAUGGGGCGGAUGUGGGGGGCUGCGGCCCCCACCCGCCUCCUCCUCCUCCUCCUCGUGCUGUGUGCCCGGGAUGCCUGGGCUAUGCCAAGGCGAGCGCUGGGAGCAGGUGACGAUGCGCUCGGCAGCGCUUCCCCAGCUCCUCAGCUGGGUCCUGGAGUGGAGCUCCAGGGGCAGCCCAGCGGCCGUGCUGUUCCAGCUGCCCCGUGGAAUCCUGCUCCUGAGACUGGGUGGCACCCCACAGGUACGUGGGCUACGGUGUGGCUCUUGCUUUCCUU